rnacentral:rRNA from 1 species
GGAAUCAUUUGAUGUAUCUCCAUUGGAUACCGUGGGAAUCUAGAGCUAAUACAUGUAGUUAAUUGGCGUAUCUUCGGGUACGUCAAAGCAUUUAUUAGAUUAAACCAUCUACUACUCUGUAGUAAGACGAAUCUAGAUAACUUGUCUGAUCGUAUGGCCUCGUGCCGGCGACGUUUCAAUUGAGUUUCUGCCCUAUCAACUUGUUGGUAAGGUAUUGGCUUACCAAGGUUGCAACGGGUAACGGGGAAUCAGGGUUCGAUUCCGGAGAGGGAGCCUGAGAAACGGCUACCACAUCCAAGGAAGGCAACAGGCGCGCAAAUUACCCAAUCUAGACAGUAGGAGGUGGUGAAGAGAAUUACUAAGUGGUGGUUCAAUGAACUACCAACUUGGAAUGGACGUAACUUAAGCAAUUCGUUGAGAAACAACUGGAGGGCAAGUCCUGGUGCCAGCAGCCGCGGUAAUUCCAGCUCCAGUAGUUUGCUUUAAAGUUGUUGCGUUUAAAACGCUCGUAGUUGGAUCAUGCAACAGUGUACGGUAAUCUAUUCAUUAGACCAGAUAUUUCGAGGAGUCGUUGAAAGACGACACUUGUGAUCUGGACUGUGAUAGAUAUAAAAGCUGAACACUGUUAAUUGCGUGUGAGAUGGAUUGUUGACCUUUAGUGAGUCGGUAAUCCUGUCUCGCGGGAUGUGCCUUGAAUAAAACAGAGUGCUUAAAGCAGGUUGAUGCCUGAAUGUUAUAGCAUGGAACGAACAAUAGUGUAUACGUAUGCGAUUUUCAAUAGUGACAGGCCUAUGGCUUGCCACUGUUGGGGGCGCGUACAUCACCCACCAAAAUAUGGCUGUUGGUUCCAUAUACGGUGAUGAUUAAAAGGAGCGGUUGGGGGCAUCGGUAUUUGGCCGCGAGAGGUGAAAUUCUUGGACCGGCCAAGGACUAACAAAUGCAAAGGCACUUGUCUAGACCGUUUCCAUUAAUCAAGAACGAAAGUGGGAGGUUCGAAGACGAUCAGAUACCGUCCUAGUUCCCACUGUAAACUAUGCCGACCUGGGAUCAGUUUAGAGAUGCUACAAGCUCUAAAUUGGUCCCCCUGGGAAACCUCAAGUUUUUCGGUUACGGGGAGAGUAUGGUCGCAAGGCUGAAACUUAAAGGAAUUGACGGAAGGGCACCACCAGGGGUGGAGCCUGCGGCUUAAUUUGACUCAACACGGGGAAACUUACCUGGUCCGGACAUCGAUAGGAUACACAGACCAAUAGAUCUUUGUUGAUGCGAUGAGUGGUGGUGCAUGGCCGUUCUUAGUUCGUGGAGUGAUCUGUCGGCUUUACUGCGGUAACGAACGAGACCACAGUCUCCAUUUAAGAAACAGAAAAAGACAACCUAUUGUUGGGACUAGUCUCACCCAGUAGGUUGUUGUUGGUUAGAGUUGUGGCUAUAUAGCAACGUUGUGGAAGAGCAAUCUUAAAUAGCGAAGCUGUAUGGCUGUGCCUUUUCCUUUCUGUCAAGUAGUAACUGGUUUACACUAGUUGCUGCCUUAUGGAGAGACAACGAGGUAUAAUCAAGCUCGAGAAGAGGCUGAACC